rnacentral:rRNA from 1 species
GACGAACGCUGGCGGCGUGCUUAACACAUGCAAGUCGUACGGAAAGGCCCUUUCGGGGUUACACGAGUGGCGAACGGGGGAGUAACACGCGAGUAACCAGCCCACAACUCUGGGAGAGCGCUAGGAAACUGACUGUAAUACUUGAUAUAUGCUCGCGCUGCAUGGUGGGGGUGGGAUAGAUCCGGCGGUUGUGGGUGGACGCGCGGGCUAUCAGCUUGCUGGUGGGGGAGUGGCUUACCAAGGCGGCGACUGGUAGCCGGCCUGGGGGGGUGACUGGCCACAUUGGGUCCGAGAUUCGGCCCAGACACCUACCGGUAGCAGCCGUGGGGAAUAUUGCCCAAUGGGCCCGAGCCUGAUGCAGCCACGCCGCGUGCGGGAUGGCGGCCUUCGGGUUGUAAAACGCUUUCAGCAGGGACGAAGCUUUUUGUGACGGUACCUGCAGAAGAAGCACCGGCUAACUACGUG